rnacentral:rRNA from 1 species
UACGUAGGGGGCAAGCGUUGUCCGGAUUUAUUGGGCGUAAAGAGCGUGUAGGCGGCCAGAUAGGUCCGUUGUGAAAACUCGAGGCUCAACCUCGAGACGCCGAUGGAAACCAUCUGGCUAGAGUCCGGAAGAGGAGAGUGGAAUUCCUGGUGUAGCGGUGAAAUGCGCAGAUAUCAGGAGGAACACCAGCGGCGAAGGCGGCGCUCUGGGCCGGUACUGACGCUGAGGAGCGAAAGCGUGGGUAGCAAACAGG